GGAGGAUCCGAGCGUUAUCCGGAUUUAUUGGGUUUAAAGGGAGCGUAGAUGGAUGUUUAAGUCAGUUGUGAAAGUUUGCGGCUCAACCGUAAAAUUGCAGUUGAUACUGGAUGUCUUGAGUGCAGUUGAGGCAGGCGGAAUUCGUGGUGUAGCGGUGAAAUGCUUAGAUAUCACGAAGAACUCCGAUUGCGAAGGCAGCUUACUGNACUGNAACUGACNCUGAUGCUCGAAAGUGUGGGUAUCAAACAGGAUUAGAUACCCUGGUAGUCCACACAGUAAACGAUGAAUACUCGCUGUUGGCGAUACACAGUCAGCGGCCAAGCGAAAGCNUUAAGUAUUCCACCUGGGGAGU
rnacentral:rRNA from 1 species